rnacentral:rRNA from 1 species
CCUUACCUGGCCUUGACAUCCAGAGAACUUUCCAGAGAUGGAUUGGUGCCUUCGGGGACUCUGAGACAGGUGCUGCAUGGCCGUCGUCAGCUCGUGUCGUGAGAUGUUGGGUUAAGUCCCGUAACGAGCGCAACCCCUAUCCCUGGUUGCUAGCAGGUAAUGCUGAGAACUCCAGGGAGACUGCCGGUGACAAACCGGAGGAAGGUGGGGAUGACGUCAGGUCAUCAUGGCCCUUACGGCCAGGGCUACACACGUGCUACAAUGGCGCGUACAGAGGGCUGCCAACUCGCGAGAGUGAGCCAAUCCCUUAAAACGCGUCGUAGUCCGGAUCGGAGUCUGCAACUCGACUCCGUGAAGUCGGAAUCGCUAGUAAUCGCGAAUCAGAAUGUCGCGGUGAAUACGUUCCC